UACGUAGGGGGCAAGCGUUGUCCGGAUUUAUUGGGCGUAAAGCGCUCGCAGGCGGCUCGAUGCGUCGUGCGUGAAACACCCCGGCUCAACUGGGGAGGGUCGUGCGAUACGGUCGGGCUGGAGGCCCGUAGGGGGAUGCGGAAUUCCGGGUGUAGUGGUGGAAUGCGUAGAGAUCCGGAGGAACACCAGCGGCGAAGGCGGCAUCCUGGACUGGUCCUGACGCUCAGGAGCGAAAGCAUGGGGAGCGAACAGG
rnacentral:rRNA from 1 species